rnacentral:tRNA from 1 species
AUUCAUUUAUUAUAAUAGUAUAUCAAGCUUCCAACUUGAAGGUUUAAAUAAAAUUAAAAUGAAUA